rnacentral:rRNA from 1 species
UAGGGAAUCUUCGGCAAUGGACGAAAGUCUGACCGAGCAACGCCGCGUGAGUGAAGAAGGUUUUCGGAUCGUAAAACUCUGUUGUUAGAGAAGAACAAGGACGUUAGUAACUGAACGUCCCCUGACGGUAUCUAACCAGAAAGCCACGGCUAACUACGUGCCAGCAGCCGCGGUAAUACGUAGGUGGCAAGCGUUGUCCGGAUUUAUUGGGCGUAAAGCGAGCGCAGGCGGUUUCUUAAGUCUGAUGUGAAAGCCCCCGGCUCAACCGGGGAGGGUCAGUGGAAACUGGGAGACUUGAGUGCAGAAGAGGAGAGUGGAAUUCCAUGUGUAGCGGUGAAAUGAGUAGAUAUAUGGAGGAACACCAGUGGCGAAGGCGGCUCUCUGGUCUGUAACUGACGCUGAGGCUCGAAAGCGUGGGGAGCAAACAGG